UGCAAUCAGUGAUGAAACUUUCCCAAUAUAGCUGAUUUUACAGUGAUUAGCAUUAAAUAUAUUCACCAUCUUUCAGCUGAGAUUGCU